CCUACGGGGGGCAGCAGUGAGGAAUAUUGGUCAAUGGACGAGAGUCUGAACCAGCCAAGUAGCGUGAAGGAUGACUGCCCUAUGGGUUGUAAACUUCUUUUAUAUGGGAAUAAAAUGUUCCACGUGUGGGAUUUUGUAUGUACCAUAUGAAUAAGGAUCGGCUAACUCCGUGCCAGCAGCCGCGGUAAUACGGAGGAUCCGAGCGUUAUCCGGAUUUAUUGGGUUUAAAGGGAGCGUAGGUGGAUUGUUAAGUCAGUUGUGAAAGUUUGCGGCUCAACCGUAAAAUUGCAGUUGAAACUGGCAGUCGUGAGUACAGUAGAGGUGGGCGGAAUUCGUGGUGUAGCGGUGAAAUGCUUAGAUAUCACGAAGAACUCUGAUUGCGAAGGCAGCUCACUGGACUGCAACUGACACUGAGGCUCGAAAGUGUGGGUAUCAAACAGGAUUAGAUACCCCAGUAGUC
rnacentral:rRNA from 1 species